UGCGGCUCUAUAGUCGAACGUCGUUGUUCCUUACCGGGCGUUGGUUCCUUACGUUAAGAGCCUUAGGGAUAGCCGGGUGUCAAAGAAAUUGGAAGAUCUGUAAACAGGCACCAUGGCAUCCAGUUCAGCUCAAGACCUGGCUCAUAGCCUGCACAUCUGGCUUAUGAAUGAAAUGCAGUAUGAUGCUUCUGGUGCUGAUGGAUGUCGUACAAUACCCUCUCCAGAGAAUCUAGCAGAACUUUGCUGUGCCCAGUUACCAGAUGUGUGGAAGCACUUGAUGGAAAAUGUGUAUGGGCCACACAGCAUCCAUGCCAUCAAAGGAAACUUGCAGCUCUGUCAAGGAAGAAAUGGUAAAAAGAUGAUGUCUGCACCUGAAGAAAAGACCCUGCAAGGACGAAAGGAGGCACUUACAAAGGAUCUGCGCAAGACCACCUCAAACAUUCAGCACAUGAACUGUGA